GUGGGGAAUAUUGGACAAUGGGGGGAACCCUGAUCCAGCCAUGCCGCGUGUGUGAAGAAGGCCUUUUGGUUGUAAAGCACUUUAAGCGAGGAGGAGGCUACCGAGAUUAAUACUCUUGGAUAGUGGACGUUACUCGCAGAAUAAGCACCGGCUAACUUCGUGCCAGCAGCCGCGGUAAUACGAAGGGUGCAAGCGUUAAUCGGAUUUACUGGGCGUAAAGCGCGCGUAGGUGGCCAAUUAAGUCAAAUGUGAAAUCCCCGAGCUUAACUUGGGAAUUGCAUUCGAUACUGGUUGACUAGAGUAUGGGAGAGGAUGGUAGAAUUCCAGGUGUAGCGGUGAAAUGCGUAGAGAUCUGGAGGAAUACCGAUGGCGAAGGCAGCCAUCUGGCCUAAUACUGACACUGAGGUGCGAAAGCAUGGGGAGCAAACAGGAUUAGAUACCCCAGUAGUCC
rnacentral:rRNA from 1 species